AGUGAACGCUGGCGGUAGGCCUAACACAUGCAAGUCGAACGGCAGCACAGUAAGAGUUUGCUCUUACGGGUGGCGAGUGGCGGACGGGUGAGGAAUACAUCGGAAUCUACUUUUUCGUGGGGGAUAACGUAGGGAAACUUACGCUAAUACCGCAUAUGAUCUACGGGUGAAAGCAGUGGAUCUUCGGACCUUGCGCGAUUGAAUGAGCCGAUGUCGGAUUAGCUAGUUGGCGGGGUAAAGGCCCACCAAGGCGACGAUCCGUAGCUGGUCUGAGAGGAUGAUCGGCCACACUGGAACUGAGACACGGUCCAGACUCCUACGGGAGGCAGCAGUGGGGAAUAUUGGGCAAUGGGCGCAAGCCUGAUCCAGCCAUACCGCGUGGGUGAAGAAGGCCUUCGGGUUGUAAAGCCCUUUUGUUGGGAAAGAAAAGCAGCAGGUUAAUACCCCGCUGUUCUGACGGUACCCAAAGAAUAAGCACCGGCUAACUUCGUG
rnacentral:rRNA from 1 species